UCGGUCUGUGACGUCAGGACGCGAUGACGCAGUCCAGAGUCACAUGAAACAUUUCACAUCCGAAUUUUUUUUUUUUUUUAAAUGUGCUACUUUGUGUCUUUCUGACGAGAAAAACUUGAACCGCAGAAACUAAAAGUGCUCUUUAAGCUGCAGGGAGUUUUAAUUCAACAUGGACGAGGACGGACUGCCGAUUGUGGGCUCUGGUGUUGAUCUUACUAAGGUGCCUGCUAUUCAACAGAGAAGAGUGGUUGCCUAUCUCAAUCAGUUUGUUGUGCACACUGUCCGGUUCCUCAAUCGUUUCUCCACAGUGUGUGAGGAGAAACUUUCCAACAUUUCCCUUCGCAUACAGCAAAUAGAAACAACCCUGUGCAUUUUGGAAGCAAAGCUGUCCUCCAUUCCUGGACUGGAGGAUGUCACAAUAGAAGGAUCCAGUCAGCAGCAACCUGUUCAAUCUAAUGGACCCACUACUACUAUUCAGAGCCAGACAGAAGUUCCACCUCCAGCCGUUCUGCCUCCGCCAGUGACUGCUCCAGAGCCGACAAUAACAGAAACAAUAGAAGAAGACAACACGGCUGCAGAGAAUGUGAUGACAGUGUGCAAGGACCCGCGUUACGCACGAUACCUGAAAAUGGUUCAAGUGGGAGUUCCGGUUUUGGCUAUCAGGAAUAAAAUGGUCUUGGAGGGUUUGGAUCCAAACUUGCUUGACACACCCGAUGCCCCCGUGCCAGACGGAGCAGCAGGGGGGGCCGAGGAUCAAGACGCCGCUGCCACCAGCUCAGACAGUGAAUCAUCCUUCAGUGACUGACAUCGCACAUCCUCCGCCCACCUCAUCUGUAAAGCUUCCUGUAAAAGCCGAUCUGCGUGAGAAAAUUUACAACCCAGGAUUGUGGCUUUGGAAAAACCAUAUGUUAGUCUCAUGCCCUCGACGAGAGGUUCCCAAAUUCCCAGGGUUUUUAUUUUUCAACAUUUUCUGAAUCAAUAAUACAGUUUUUUUUCCUCAAGCUCCUGAAAGACUUUCAAAUAAAAACAACAUCCUGUCUAGGGAUGGCAAACACACAUUUGGGGCUUGUAUUGCAUAAAGAAAUUGAACUGAAGCAGAGAAUUUGUCUGCGUAACAGCAUUAAAAAAAAAUCCAUCUUUAAUUCACAAACAGCUCCAUUUCUGUUUAUGACAUUGAAGUGAUUGAAUCUGCCUGAGCAAACGUAUCCACGUAGCAGCCUUAUUCUCAGUGCAUGAGCUCCAGGCUGUAGACACAUUCAAGAUACAAUAAUAAGAGCUGCACUGAUGAACUAUGUAGCAGCCUGAGAAGAAACCGUAUCUGUUCCAACUGGGAAACGUUUACAGUAAGUGCAAUUAAAUCUAAACUCUGUGCCUGAUACAAAAAGUCAAGCUGUUAUAAAAUUAUAAAAACACUGAUAAGUGAAGUGGCAGCUUCCCCAAGAAUCUUGCAUUGACACUGAUCAUAUUUUCUCAUAAUUACACACAGAACACGUGUGUCAGUUUGAUUGUUUUUUUUCCCCCAUUCAAACGUGUGAUAGUCAUGUGUUCCCUGUGUGAUGAACUUCUCUUAUUGGUGUCACAGGUCUGACAGAAUGACACGCUGGUGUGGCAAUCAAGGGCAAAGUGCAAAGUGACAAAACACGGGCACCAAUCAGGACACUUAUAUAAAUGAUUUCAGAUUGUAUAAAAAAAUAUAAAGAUACAGGCUGUGGUCAGUUUUUUUCCCCUCUUUAAAACCACUCCUGACUCACAGGUAUGUAUAAAUACGAACGUCAAAAGGACCAGCUAUAAUCUAUCAACAUAUUCAGUCAGGCUGUAUGAUUCACAAAAAUCAUUUUUCAGCGUAAAUGUUGUAAAAACGGUGUAAAAAAAAUAAUACAAGAGAUUAAAAUCUUUACAAAAAUAAGUGCAGCACAUCUUCAGAAUCUAAAAAAAAGCUGGUGUUUGUUUCAAGUUUGGCAGCUGCAGACGGAUCAGGACCUAACCCUCGUUCACUGUCCUCACCUGAAGAGUAAAAAGCUGUAGGAAAGGAGAAGAGGAGAGAAGUAAGAACACCCAUCUGACGACAGAGAGGAGAAGAAGAGUGUCCGUCGUGACUGUUUUCUACUCACUUUGAAAUCGUCAAUGUAUGUGAAGAAGAAGCAAAUGAAGCUGAAUGCAACCGUCCACUCGCACACAGCGCUGGCUAACUGAUAAGGAUAGUCCUGAAAGAGACACACAGAUGCUGCAUUCAGAACACGAUCAAGAUCCAGGGAUACAAAUGAGUUCACUUUUGAUUGAAAUCAUUUCCAAAAAACAAAAUAAAUGUAUUCCAUCCAA